rnacentral:misc_RNA from 1 species
CUUUCUCUCUUUUCUGCUCUGCUCCAUGUGUCCAUCUCAUGCCGAUAUGCUGCCCGAUUUAUUACAAGGUCCAAUUUUUUUUUUUUGUUAAAUACUUAAAUUUCUUAAAAAUUUAGUGUGAUGUAAUUUUAUUAUUAAAUGGGUAUUAUGUGAUAUGUUAAUUAAAUCGGUAUUGUGAUUGUGAUUAUGUGACAUAUUUUUAUUAUG